rnacentral:rRNA from 1 species
AUUAAACGCUGGCGGCAUGCCUUACACAUGCAAGUCGAACGGCAGCACGGGGGCAACCCUGGUGGCGAGUGGCGAACGGGUGAGUAAAGCAUCGGAACGUGCCCUGGAGUGGGGGAUAACGUAGCGAAAGUUACGCUAAUACCGCAUAUUCUGUGAGCAGGAAAGCAGGGGAUCGCAAGACCUUGCGCUCUGGGAGCGGCCGAUGUCGGAUUAGCUAGUUGGUGGGGUAAAGGCCUACCAAGGCGACGAUCCGUAGCGGGUCUGAGAGGAUGAUCCGCCACACUGGGACUGAGACACGGCCCAGACUCCUACGGGAGGCAACAGUGGGGAAUUUUGGACAAUGGGCGAAAGCCUGAUCCAGCCAUGCCGCGUGAGUGAAGAAGGCC